rnacentral:sRNA from 1 species
AUCGGCAUUGCUGAUGAGCGCUUAACCCAUGUGCUGCUCGCAAUUGCCGCCGCUGCUUUCAGCUUUUGACCACGGAUGUACUGGCACUGGUGGAUAAAGCGGCGAUGAGAGAGGUCGGAGCAAUAUUGCCCCGGCCUUUUUUCGUU